UACCAGCACCCCGAGUGGUCGGGACGAUUAUUGGGCCUAAAGCAUCCGUAGCCGGUCCUGCAAGUCUUCCGUUAAAUCCACCUGCUCAACAGUUGGGCUGCGGGGGAUACUACAGGGCUAGGAGGCGGGAGAGGCAAGCGGUACUCAGUGGGUAGGGGUAAAAUCCGCUGAUCCAUUGAAGACCACCAGUGGCGAAGGCGGCUUGCCAGAACGCGCUCGACGGUGAGGGAUGAAAGCUGGGGGAGCAAACCGG
rnacentral:rRNA from 1 species